rnacentral:lncRNA from 1 species
UCUGUUCUGUUCUAUAAAGAAUGCAUUAGGGCGAACAGCUGUAUAAAACAAUCAUAUGGGCGGACAUCAGUAUAAAACAGUCAUAAGGUUGAACACCGGUAUAAAACAGUCAUUAUUGUGAGCAUCGAUAUCAAACAACCAUUCGGGCGAACAUCGGUAUAAGACAAUGAUGAGGUCGAAUAUUUGUAUAGAAUAGUCUCAAGGAUUCAAGGAUGAACAUCAGUAUCAAAAAUUUAUAAGGUCAAACAUUGGUAUGAAACAGUCAUAAUGGCGAAUAUUGGUAUAAAACUGACAUAUUAUAAAGGGCGAACCUCAGUAUAAACCUGUAAUUAUGGCCAACAUUGGUUUAAACUUACAUUAGGAUGAACAUAAAUAUAAAACGGUCUUUUAGGUGAAAAUAGUAUCAAAUAGUCAUAAGGAUGAAAAGCGGUAUAAAACAGUCAUUAUGGGGAACACCGAUAUCAAACAAUCAUUUGGGUGAACACUGGUAUAAAACAGUCAUUUGGUGAACAUUGUUUUUAAACAGUCGUAAGGUCAUACGGGCAAAAGCCAGAAUGAAACAGUCGAGCAUUGGUACAGCAUGUCACAAGGUCGGAUAUUUGUAUAAAAGAGAUAUUACGUCGAAUAGUGUUAUGAAAUAGUCAUUAUGGCGAACACCGGUACAAAACAGUGAUAACAACUAACACCAGUAUAAAACUCUGAUAAAGUCGAACAUUGGUAUGGCGAUCAUCAGUAAAACCGGUCAUAAGGUCGAAUAUAAGUAUAAAACAGUCAUAAGGUCGAACAAUGGUAAAAAGCAAUCAUAGAUUGAACAUCUGUAUCAAAUAGUCAACAAAACAACAACAACAAAAAAGAAAAAAAAAAAAGAACUGUUGUAUGGACGAACAUCAGUAUAAACUGGCAUCAUGUUAAAUAUUGGUAUGAAACAGUCGUAACAGAGAACAUCAAUAUAAAACAGUGCUAAGGUCGAACUGUUGUAAAACAGUCAAUAGUUCGAUCGAACUGGUGUAAAACAGUCAUAUGGACGAACAUCGUUAUAAAACUGCCAUUAGGCCGAACAUUGACAUAAACAGUCAUAAGGGCGAACAUCGUUAUAAAACUGCCAUUAGGCCGAACAUUGAUAUAAACAGUCUUAAGGGCGAACAUCGUUAUAAAACUGCCAUUAGGUCGAACAUUGAUAUAAACAGUCUUAAGGGCGAACAUCGUUAUAAAACUGCCAUUAGGCCGAACAUUGAUAUAAACAGUCUUAAGGGCGAACAUCGUUAUAAAACUGCCAUUAGGCCGAACAUUGAUAUAAACAGUCUUAAGGGCGAACAUCGUUAUAAAACUGCCAUUAGGCCGAACAUUGAUAUAAAACAGCAAUGAUGGCGAAUAUUUGCAUAAAACAGACAUAAGGGCGAAAAGCGGUGUAAAACUGACAUUAUGAUGAACAUCAUUAUAUAACAUUAGGGUUAGCAUUGGUAUAAACUUACAUUAGGGUUAACAUAAUUAUUAAACUGUCAUUCACGUGAAAACAGUAUAAAACAGUCACAAGGUCGAAAACCAGUAUGAAACAGUCAUUCUAUAAAACAGUUAUAAGGGCGCACAUAAGUAUAAAAAGGCAUAAGGUUGAACAUAGAUAUAAGACAGUAAUUCGGGCGAACAUUGGUAUAAAAUAUUUAUUCGGCAGAACAUUUGGUAUAAAUUAUGCCAAACAUCAGUAUCAUAAUGUCAUAAUGGCGAAUAUCGAUUCAAAAACAUUCAUUCAAGAGAAAAUUGUUAUCAACAGUCAUAAUGUUGUAUAAAACAGUAAUAACGUUCUACAUUAGUAUACAACUGCCAUAAGAACGAAUAUUGGUAUAAAACAGUCAUUCAGGUGAACAUCAGAAUAAAAAAGUCAUAAGGUCGAACAUCAGUCUAAAACAGUCAUCAGGUUAGGUACUGGCAUUUAACAGUCAUAAGAUCGAACAUCAAUAUAAAACAGUCACAAGGGCAAACAUCUGUACAAACUGUCAUGAGGGCGAACAUCAGUAUAAAACUAUCAUGAGUGGAGACACUGGUAUAAACAGUCAUAAGGUCGAACAGAUGUAUAAAUCCGCCAUAAGAGGAACAUCAGCAUGAACAGUCAUUAGGGCGAACACUGGUAUGCAACAAUUAUAAGGGCGAACAUCAAUAUAAAACAGUCAGAACGUCAAAUGUUGGUUUUAAGCAAUCAUACUGGCGAACACGUCAGCAUAAAACAGUGUCAAUACUAAACGUUUAUACGGUCGGUCAUUGGUAUAAAACAGUCAUUAUGCCGAAUAUUGGUAUAAAACAGACAUAACUACGAACAACAGUAUAAAACUGUCAGAAGGGCCAGUAUUGGUAUACACUUUAUUAGUAUGAACAUUAGAAUAAAACUGUCAUUCAGGUGAAUAUCAGUAUAAAACUGUCAUAAGGUCAAACAUUGGUAGAAAACAGUCAUUUUGGCGAAUAUCGGUAUAAAACAGUCAAAACGCGAA